GCCAGGUGUGGUGAUGCACACCUGUAGUCCCAGCUACUCGGGAGGCUGAGGCAGAAGAAUUGCUUGAACGCGGGAGGCGGAGGUUGCAGUGAGCCAAGAUUGCACCACUGCACUCUAGCCUGGGUGACAGAGCAAUACUCUGUCUCAA
rnacentral:sRNA from 1 species